rnacentral:rRNA from 1 species
AGUGAACGCUGGCGGCAGGCCUAACACAUGCAAGUCGAGCGGCAGCGCGGGGGCAACCCUGGCGGCGAGCGGCGGACGGGUGAGGAAUACAUCGGAAUCUGCCUUGUUGUGGGGGAUAACGUAGGGAAACUUACGCUAAUACCGCAUGAGACCGUAAGGUGAAAGUGGGGGAUCGCAAGACCUCACGCGACAAGAUGAGCCGAUGUCGGAUUAGCUAGUUGGUGAGGUAAAGGCUCACCAAGGCAACGAUCCGUAGCUGGUCUGAGAGGAUGAUCAGCCACACUGGGACUGAGACACGGCCCAGACUCCUACGGGAGGCAGCAGUGGGGAAUAUUGGACAAUGGGCGCAAGCCUGAUCCAGCCAUGCCGCGUGUGUGAAGAAGGCCUC